GCCUUAGAUAGCUCAGACGAUAGAGCAGGAGACUUUUAAUCUCAGGGCCGUCGGUUUGAGCCCCAUGUUGGGCA